UACGGAGGGGGCUAGCGUUGUUCGGAAUUACUGGGCGUAAAGCGCACGUAGGCGGAUCAGCCAGUCAGGGGUGAAAUCCCGGGGCUCAACCCCGGAACUGCCCUUGAUACUGCUGGUCUGGAGUUCGAGAGAGGCGAGUGGAAUUCCGAGUGUAGAGGUGAAAUUCGUAGAUAUUCGGAGGAACACCAGUGGCGAAGGCGGCUCGCUGGCUCGACACUGACGCUGAGGUGCGAAAGCGUGGGGAGCAAACAGGAUUAGAUACCCCGGUAGU
rnacentral:rRNA from 1 species